AUAUCGGGUAUAUUCUCAUGGUAGGUAUACGGUAUGUACUGUAAGUAUAAAAAGAGCUGGUAUGUUUGAAAGCAUCAGUUUAACAAGUAACUACGCAACUUCAGCAUGAAGCUAACUUUCUUUCUUCUUAUUGUAACUUUGUGUACACUUGCAGCAAAUGGCUACGGUGUGCCAGAUUUGCAAGAGGUUGCCGCCGCAGCCCAAGAGAUGGCGCCACCCGGCCAAGGGACUUUGGUCCGUGUUGCCAGGGCGGACUGCAACCCCAACACCUGCGAGAGUAACUGUCGCUGGUGCUUCAACGGGAAAUGCCACUGUGACUGGCAGUAGACUUAAUCUGCCUUCCCCAGUUUUUUUUUUAAUUUAAAAUAAAAGUUUGUCUUAAAACGUA